rnacentral:rRNA from 1 species
UGGUGGAGCGAUUUGUCUGGUUAAUUCCGAUAACGAACGAGACUCUGGCCUACUAACUAGACGUAAGAUCAUUUAUGGUCUUUCGCAGCUUCUUAGAGGGACGGGGCGGGCUUUUAGUCCGCACGAGAAUGAGCAAUAACA